rnacentral:tmRNA from 1 species
GGGGCUGAAAGGUUUUGACAGAGUAUUACUUAAAUUAUAUUUGCAUAUCAAGUUUAAGAACUUGUAAAAAUCUUAAAAAAAAAGUGCAAAUUUAAAAACAAAUGAAUCUUAUUUUGCAUCUGCAAUAUAAAUUCCUUCUUGUAUAAAUUCUCUCUAUAUAAUUUAUAUAUAGAAGUCAUAUUAAUAUAGAGUAAAUAUAUAAAUUAAUUAAGAGAUUUAUAUAUUUUUAAUAUUCUUAAUUAUUUAUUAUUAAAUGUUUUUCUUUUAAUAAUAAAAUAUUUUUUUAGAAAAACUAAAUAUGUAGAUAAUAUAAUUUAUGAGCUUUUGGACGUGGGUUCAAAUCCCACCAGCUCCACAA